GACGAACCGUGCGAACGUUGUUCGGAAUCACUGGGCUUAAAGGGCGCGUAGGCGGGCUGCCAAGUCUGGGGUGAAAUCCCACGGCUCAACCGUGGAACUGCCUUGGAUACUGGCGGCCUCGAGGGAGGUAGGGGCAUGCGGAACUGUGGGUGGAGCGGUGAAAUGCGCAGAUAUCAGGAGGAACACCCGUGGCGAAGGCGGCUCUCUGGGACGGUACUGACGCUGAGACGCGAAAGCGUGGGGAGCGAACAGG
rnacentral:rRNA from 1 species